UAUGCCUCGCCCACAGACAGGUAAAUGAUGUCAGGUGAACCCUGAGGCUCUGCCCAUCAUACAACGGUCCUAUCAGGGAUGUCAGAAGUAGAAGCUGCUAGAUGUUGGGUGAUUCUCCUCCCAUAUAAAGCGUUUCCCGCAGCGUCUCCCUGAGUUCAUCUAAACUGCUGGUUUACACCCGACGCCGUGGGGAGAGGCCAUGAGAAUGUCCUUAGCGGAUGCAGCUUCUUCAAGGAACACAUAUUCCCAGGGCAGAAGUAAGCAAAUGCUACAGACGAGAGCCUUCUCAGAAAGCUGGCUGCUGGGUGUUUGCCAAUAUGCCAAUAUUCAUAGGGAAGUCUAUGACACGCUCCUCUCCCGCAUCGAUCACAUGCCACAAGGAGAGAACCUGAUAAAGAAUCCGCAUAGCAACCGGAACAGACUGUGAACGUUAGAUGGACUGGAUUCCUGUAAGGGACAAUAAAUAAUGCCCCUUUGUCCCCUCCCUGGGCUGGAAGACAGAAAAUCAAUAUCUCAACUCAAUUACUAAUAAACUCAAUUAAAACUUGCACCAUG